ACCACUGGCAAACCGACUGAAUCCGAGGUCACCUGGAUAAAAAUUAAGGGGUGAUCGGCAAGCGCCGGCCGGGCCUACAGAGCGGGUGACAAAGCCCCAUACGCUCGAGGACCGGACGCGGCGCCGCCGCUGCCUUUCGGGCCCUUUCGGGCCCGUCCCCCGGGAGCCGGGGGACGAGGGCCCAACACACAGACCGGGCUUGAAGGCACCAAUGACGCUCGGACAGGCAUGCCCCCCGGAAUACCAGGGGGCGCAAAGAGCGUACAAAGACUCGAUGAUUCACUGAAUUCUGCAAUUCACAUUAGUUAUCGCAUUUCGCUGCGUUCUUCAUCGAUGCCGGAACCAAGAGAUCCAUUGUUGAAAGUUUUAACUGAUUGCAAAGAAUCACACUCAGACUGCAAGCUUUCAGAACAGGGUUCAUGUUGGGGUCUCCGGCGGGCACGGGCCCGGGGGCGAGUCGCCCCCCGGCGGCCAGCAACGCUGGCGGGCCCGCCGAAGCAACAAGGUACAAUAGUCACGGGUGGGAGGUUGGGCCAUAAAGACCCGCACUCGGUAAUGAUCCUUCCGCAUUCCCCCCCCCCCCAAAACCCCCCUCCCUUCUUUUUCUCUCUCUUUCUUCUUUUUUCUGUCUUCCUUCUUGUUAAUUCACAUUAGAUAUCUUUUCA
rnacentral:misc_RNA from 1 species